AAACUCACCAGGUCAGGACACGGUAAGGAUUGACGGACUGAAGGCUCUUUCUCGAUUCCGUGGAAAGUGGUGCAUGGCCGUUUUUGGUUGGUGGAUCGAUCCGUCUGGUUAAUUCCGUUAACGAACGAGACCUCGGCACUCCGAAUAGCGCGGCGGACGUCGCGGCCUCCGGGCCGUCUUCCGCACGAGCUUCUUAGAGGGACCGUCCCCCGCCGGGGAAGGAGGUGCGAGGCAACGACAGGUCUGUGAUGCCCUUAGAUGUUCUGGGCCGCACGCGCAUUACACUGACGCGUCCAACGGGUGACUCCCGACCCGAAGGGGCCGGGGAAUCCGCAAGGCGCGUCGUGAUGGGGAUUGAACGUUGCAAUUGUUGUUCACGAACGAGGAAUUCCUAGUAGGCGCGGGGUCAUCAACCCGCGCCGAUUACGUCCCUG
rnacentral:rRNA from 1 species